rnacentral:rRNA from 1 species
GAUGAACGCUGGCGGCGUGCCUAAUACAUGCAAGUCGAGCGAACAGACGAGGAGCUUGCUCCUCUGACGUUAGCGGCGGACGGGUGAGUAACACGUGGAUAACCUACCUAUAAGACUGGGAUAACUUCGGGAAACAGGAGCUAAUACCGGAUAAUAUAUUGAACCGCAUGGUUCAAUAGUUAAAGACGGUUUUGCUGUCACUUAUAGAUGGAUCCGCGCCGCAUUAGCUAGUUGGUAAGGUAACGGCUUACCAAGGCAACGAUGCGUAGCCGACCUGAGAGGGUGAUCAGCCACACUGGAACUGAGACACGGUCCAGACUCCUACGGGAGGCAGCAGUAGGGAAUCUUCCGCAAUGGGCGAAAGCCUGACGGAGCAACGCCGCGUGAGUGAUGAAGGUCUUCGGAUCGUAAAACUCUGUUAUUAGGGAAGAACAAAUGUGUAAGUAACUAUGCACGUCUUGACGGUACCUAAUCAGAAAGCCACGGCUAACUACGUG